UCGCCUGUUUAUCAAAAACAUAGCUUUAUGAAAUUUAUAUUAAGUUUUGCCUGCCCAGUGAUAAAUUUUAACGGCCGCAGUACUUUGACUGUGCUAAGGUAGCAUAAUAAAUUGGCUUUUAAUUGAAGUCUAGAAUGAAAGGAUAAUAUGAAUAUGAGCUGUCUUAUUUAAAAUAAAUUGAAAUUACUUAAAAAGUGAAAAUUCUUUUAUAUUAUUUAAUAGACGAGAAGACCCUAGGAGUUUUAAAUUUUGUUGGGGCAACAUUAUAGGAUUAUAAACCUAUAAUAAAUAAAUUUAAAAUAUUACUAUAAUUUUAAUUAAAUAUAAACUACCCUAGGGAUAACAGCAUAAUUAUUUUAUUUUUAGUUUGUGACCUCGAUGUUGGAUUAGGAACUUUUAAUGUUAACAUCAUUAUUUGGUUGUUCUGUUCGAACAGUUGUUACCUACGUGAUCUGAGUUCAGA
rnacentral:rRNA from 1 species